GAUGAGAUAUCCCAUAUCGCAAGGUAGUAAGACCCCUUGAAGACUACGAGGUUGAUAGGUCGGAGGUGUAAGCACAGCAAUGUGUUCAGCUGACCGAUACUAAUAGGUCGAGGGCUUAACCUG
rnacentral:rRNA from 1 species